UACGUAGGUGGCAAGCGUUAUCCGGAUUUAUUGGGCGUAAAGAGAACGCAGGCGGUCUUUUAAGUCUGAUGUGAAAGCCUUCGGCUUAACCGGAGUAGUGCAUUGGAAACUGGGAGACUUGAGUGCAGAAGAGGAGAGUGGAACUCCAUGUGUAGCGGUGAAAUGCGUAGAUAUAUGGAAGAACACCAGUGGCGAAAGCGGCUCUCUGGUCUGUAACUGACGCUGAGGGUCGAAAGCGUGGGUAGCAAACAGG
rnacentral:rRNA from 1 species